UACGUAGGGUGCGAGCGUUGUCCGGAAUUACUGGGCGUAAAGAGCUCGUAGGUGGUUUGUCGCGUUGUCCGUGAAAACUCACAACUCAAUUGUGGGCGUGCGGGCGAUACGGGCAGACUGGAGUACUGCAGGGGAGACUGGAAUUCCUGGUGUAGCGGUGGAAUGCGCAGAUAUCAGGAGGAACACCGGUGGCGAAGGCGGGUCUCGUGGGCAGUGAACUGACGCUGGAGGAGCGAAAAGCGUGGGGAGCGAACAGG
rnacentral:rRNA from 1 species